CCUACGGAGGACAGCAGUCGAGAAUCAUUCACAAUGGGGGAAACCCUGAUGGUGCGACGCCGCGUGGGGGAAUGAAGUUCUUCGGAUUGUAAACCCCUGUCAUGUGGGAGCAAAUUAAAAAGAUCGUACCACCAGAGGCAGAGACUGCUAACUCUGUGCCAGCAGCCGCGGUACUACAGAGGUCUCAAUCGUUGUUCGGAAUCACUGGGCGUAAGGCGUGCGUAGGCUGUUUCGUAAGUCGUGUGUGAAAGGCGCGGGCUCAACCCGAGGACGGCACAUGAUCCUGCGAGACUAGAGUAAAGGAGGGGGAACCGGAAUUCGCGGUGUAGCAGUGAAAUGCGUAGAUAUCGAGAGGAACACUCGUGGCGAAGGCGGGUUCCUGGACAUUAACUGACGCUGAGGCACGAAGGCCAGGGGAGCGAAAGGGAUUAGAUACCCGGGUAGUC
rnacentral:rRNA from 1 species